AUUGAACGCUGGCGGCAGGCCUAACACAUGCAAGUCGAGCGGAUGAAGGGAGCUUGCUCCUGGAUUCAGCGGCGGACGGGUGAGUAAUGCCUAGGAAUCUGCCUGGUAGUGGGGGAUAACGUCCGGAAACGGGCGCUAAUACCGCAUACGUCCUGAGGGAGAAAGUGGGGGAUCUUCGGACCUCACGCUAUCAGAUGAGCCUAGGUCGGAUUAGCUAGUUGGUGGGGUAAAGGCCUACCAAGGCGACGAUCCGCAACUGGUCUGAGAGGAUGAUCAGUCACACUGGAACUGAGACACGGUCCAGACUCCUACGGGAGGCAGCAGUGGGGAAUAUUGGACAAUGGGCGAAAGCCUGAUCCAGCCAUGCCGCGUGUGUGAAGAAGGUCUUCGGAUUGUAAAGCACUUUAAGUUGGGAGGGAGGGCAGUAAGUUAAUACCUUGCUGUUUUGACGUUACCAACAGAAUAAGCACCGGCUAACUUCGUG
rnacentral:rRNA from 1 species